rnacentral:rRNA from 1 species
UACGUAGGGGGCAAGCGUUGUCCGGAUUUAUUGGGCGUAAAGAGCGUGUAGGCGGCCAGACAGGUCCGUUGUGAAAACUCGAGGCUCAACCUCGAGACGUCGACGGAAACCGUCUGGCUAGAGUCCGGAAGAGGAGUGUGGAAUUCCUGGUGUAGCGGUGAAAUGCGCAGAUAUCAGGAAGAACACCUAUGGCGAAGGCAGCCCCCUGGGCUAACACUGACGCUGAGGCACGAAAGCGUGGGGAGCAAACAGG